UACAGAGGGUGCGAGCGUUGUCCGGAAUCACUGGGCGUAAAGGGCGCGUAGGUGGUUCGGUAAGUGUGUGGUGAAAGCCCGGGGCUCAACCCCGGGUCUGCCAUGCAAACUGCUGAACUUGAGCAUACUAGAGGCAGGUAGAAUUCCGGGUGUAGCGGUGGAAUGCGUAGAGAUCCGGAAGAACACCGGUGGCGAAGGCGGCCUGCUGGGGUAGAGCUGACACUGAGGCGCGACAGCGUGGGGAGCAAACAGG
rnacentral:rRNA from 1 species